UCCGCAGCAUGUGGGAUCUUCCCAGACCAGGGCUUGAACCUGUGUCCCCUGCAUUGGCAGGAGGAUUCUUCACUACUGCGCCACCAGGGAAGCCCCCUUUGUACUUGUUGAAUAGGAAGCUCUUUCUAGUCUGUCUUCUAACUAGUUUCACAACGAACCAUAGAAGUACUUUUAAAGGUUUUUUUUUUUAAUGUAACUCAUGAUGAAUGCAAAUUGUGAAAAGUUCAGAUCUUUCUAAAUUGUAAAUUUAAAUGUCUACCAGAACAGUAGUAAUGAUGGUGAAAUGUAAACUAUUCAAUGUCAGUUUUUUUCUAUAUAUCAUCUCCCUUUAUAUUCAAAGAUGACACUUCUGAGUUAGAAAAGACAAUCUGAGUCUUUUACCUUUUGCAGUUCAGCCAUUAACAAACCUCAAAACCUUUCAAUUUUCUGCCAGUUAAACUUGAAAUUGGCCUGAAACCUUUGCUUAAAAUGAAUUACCCCUAUUUUAUUCAGGAUUUUUGCCUGUUGCAACUGAUUUUCCUUUGUCCACAGCUAUUCUACAUAAUGUUAUGUAAUGUUUUUUUUGCAUCCUUAACACUUUUCUUCCACCUUCCCUGCUUGUAGUUUGUGCUUUCUACAUUUUGGGGUUCCUUUGGAAUCCAUUCUCUGCAUCUGUUCAUGCAUAGAUUUAUUUGCCACGGUCCAGGACCUUAUUGCAAGUGGUUCUGUUCCCCAAUUUGCUGAUGUUCACAGAGGCAGGUAAGUGACAUAGCUGGGCCCACAUAUAAGCAGCGUCAGGUCGUAGAGUCAUAUAGGACCACUGCACUAACAACUCUGAUAGGUUCUGGAGCUUGAUAGCUCUAAGUGCAAAGGAGCUAGAAAUGUGGAAUUAAAUUCCCUGGAUCAGCAUCCAUUACAGGAAGGAAUGAGAUGUUUGAGUUCUUUUCUAUUUUCUCUUCCUAGAAAUAGUGUGUGUUUUUGGUCUUGCUUACUUUAAUAUUCCAGAAAAUUUUAUUCCUCUUUUAAAAUAAACAGGUGGAAUGCCCCUGAUGACAUUCACUCAGAAAGUGCCUUGCUCUCCUUUCAGGGAAAUUGAAUUUUACAAAUUAAUUCUGGACGUUUCCCCUCCAAUUGAUUUCUUUCUGUACCAUUAAAUGACCAUUUGUAUUCUCCUUUUCUGGGUAUCGUAUUUGUACUUAAACCUACAUUGGUCACUGUUGAGUUGUGUUUGAGCAGUGUUUGUUACGUUAAAAAGGACUUGGGGCUUGGGAGAACUCAUCCUGUGUCUAGAUUGACAUCUAGAACUCUAGGGGUUCCUGUUCCUCUGGGCUAGUGUUUACCUUUUCCAAUCAAAUACUGACUUCUGAACUAAUCCCAAGGGCUUUUUCCUGACACUGUGGACUGGGAGCAGAAAUGCUGCCUUAGUAAGAGAGGUCCAGGAAGCAGUAAGCUUCAUCUUUCCUCAGCCUGCCUGGCCUUUGGUGAGUUUGGGAGUGUUGACAGAGUUCUGAGCCUUCCUGGCAGAGAAGGAAGGUCAGAAAGAGAGAAGUCCAAGGGCAGGGGGCCAGGUCCUUAUUUGCCUCGUUAGGGAGAAUUCAGUGUUGUCUGUCUGGUUGGCAGGGCAUACCUUAUCACAGAGACUCAGCAUUUCAGCAGUUUGCAAAGGAAAGUGAUAUGAAGGGACAGCUGCAAAUCAGCCACAACGUAGAUCUGAGGAGAUCAAGCAUUUACUUCACUUGGAAGAAAGAGAGAAGGAAGGAAGCUGAGGGCUUAGCAGGGAUCCCCAAUGAUGAGCUUCACUCACCCUUCUCUUCCCUACUCCCUAAAGACAUUUUUUGUGUGCUGGUGAACUUGAGAAAAUUAGAUGGGCUUCACUGGUCUGGAGAUGGUGAGAAGAUGACUAUGAUUUAGGUGAAAUUUGAGGCUGUUGGUGGUAAGGAGGGGUGAAUAUGGGAGACCUAGGUGUGGGGAUAAGCUAGCUAAUAUUUUAGAGAAUUUAGAGAUGAAGGAUAAGAGUUUUUGUAGGCCAUCCAGUUCAUGUCUCCUCUCCAGUCCUUGGUGUUGGUGUUCUCUCUCUUAUAUACUGGGAAUAAAUUAGACCCCAAGUCACUGCCUUUGUUUCUCUCAGGUCAACUCCCCACCCCCAAACUUGGAGGAUACUAGGCCUCAUUGCAGGAAAGUUAGAACUAGGGGGGCUGGGUACACAAACUCAGACAUGAGCCUGAUGAUAUAUACAGAUGCAAAUGCAAAGACCUGGCUCCUCAUUCCCACCUUCUUACCUUCCUGCCAGAAAAUUAUCCAUUUGUAUCAGGAACCCACUGUAGACACAGAGGAAAAUAUGGCAUCAGGGGUUUCACCAACUUCAUGCCUCACCAAGCUGUGUGAUCGAUCCCUUGACUUCCAGCCAGUUCAUCCAGUCUUCCAGUGGACUUAAUCUUCCAUUGGAGGAAGAUCGCUCAUUGGAAAGUAUAGUCCCUUUUGUUUACUUAACCCUCGUGGAAGGAAUGGGAAAAGACAGGCCAGGGAAGGAGGACACCACAAGAGUUCUCUCUAGGUAGUGAGUGGGUGUGGGUUUAGUUCUACUUCAGAACUCACCUUUUUAGAAAAUUUUCCUAAUAAUGUGCAUAACUUGGCAUUGUAGUGCUAAUUUGGUAUUGCAUUUGAUUUCUACUUUUUGGUUUAUUGCUUAUAAAUGUGAUGAUAGGUCUUUUAAAAUGAAUGUUUUCCUUCCCCAACUAGAUUAGAUUGACUGUUUCUCUAGUUAGAUGGUAGUUUCGGACAACCAAAACUUUUUUUUUUUUUUUGCAGUACGCGGGCCUCUCACUGUUGUGGCCUCUCCCGUAGCGGAGCACAGGCUCCGGACGUGCAGGCUC